GAUGCGCUCCCGGUCCAGGGCGCUGGCUACUUUGAUGAGGCUCAGGUUCGGCACUUUGCUGCUCUGCACCUCAAAGUGGCGCUGCUCGUUGCCCCCAAGAAUCUGCACAGAGAUGUUCCCGUUGGCCGCGGGGGAGUCUGCGUCCGUCACGGUGAGCAGAGCCACCACAGUGCCCACCUGAGCAUUCUCAUCUACCGAGGCGUAGCGUGAGGUGGCAGGGAAGUAGCGGAAUUUCACCACAGGGUCGUUGUCGUUGACGUCCAGCAGCUGAAUCAGCGCCUCGGCGCGCCCAGUGAGGGAAGGCACGCCUCGGUCCAUAGCCUGCACGGGUCAACCGUAAGUCGUUUCAGCAUUCCACAAUUGACUUCUCCAUUUGUAAAAUGAGAGAAAUCAGCUCACGUGGUAACUCUGGGACAGCAAGUCCUGCCCUUGGACUCAGACUUACACCACAACACUCCUGGCUCUCAGGUCUUCAGGCUCAGGCUGGAAAUCAUGGCUUUAAGUUUCUUCAGCAACUGCUUCUGAGUUAUCCCAAGAUGGUGUGAUGAGAACAUUGGCAUCAGAAGAAGAACUUUGCCAUUGAGAAACAAGCAGAAAAUAGUUUCCUUUCCUGCAGCGCUGCACCUGCUGUGCACCUAGCACAGCCACCCUUCCAAUACCUGCUUCCACUGGUGAACAAUGGAGAUAACGUACCCCCAUUUCUUCAGAAUUGUGAUUUCAGUUUUCACACUAAGUAUUUCUGGAACACAUUUGUUUCAUCAAUAGACACGUUAUUUUUAAGAUUCUAAAAUCAACAUAUUUCAGAUCUCCCAGGAGACAAUUUCCAGAAGUUGGUACAUACAUGUCCUACCCUUUCCUGCCUUCAAUUCCAAGGAGAACUAGAAGGAUUUCUUCUUGCUGUUUUGAGAAGUUGCUUUGAUUGAGGAGAACAGGGACUUUGCUUCUUAAAAAAAUACAAUGAAUCUUAUAUGUUGGACAAUAUUAUAUAUGCCUUGGCAUCAUUCGUUUUUUGGAGUUGUAACUACAGAAUUAUCUAGAUAUCAUUCACCUGAUACAUGAGGCAAUUUCCAUGAGAUAACUGGUUCAUAUGGACUUCCAUUUGAAUAAAUCAUUUCUCAAUCCAGAGAUGUUUUUGAAAUAGUUUAGCCUGUGGCUUCCUAUAUAACACGAUUGCUGAGAGCAUGGAAUAUUCAGCAAGGUUGGAAAUCGUGUUGUUUUCUGGUAAGGCUCCAGGAGCCACGUGGAUUCAGACUAUAGUCCUUGGAACCAAAACACUCAAUGUAAUAUAUUUAUGAGAAUAAAAUUUCUGUCACAGAAUUUUCCCAUAAAAGUUAAUUGGAAAACAUUGCAUUACAUUAGCUAUAUAAAUGAUUGGGUGUCAGUGCAUACACAUGUACAGUAUAUGAUAUAUGUGUGGUAAUAUAUAAAGCGACUCAUCAGAAAUCAUUCUCACUGGCCCGUAAACAAUUACAGAUAAAAUUCUGUCAAGAUUAGCACCAAGAUGAUAGAUUUUCUUCAUAAGUUUUUAUCUUCUUUUAGGUAAUUCUAUAAUUUCAAGACUUAACACUUACUUUGAAAUGACUUUUCUCUGUACAGACAAUACUUCUCUAUGCGUUUAAAUAUUCUAGAAUGAUGACGUCUCAGUCCAACUUAACACAUUCUCAGGUGUCUUUGUUAACCAGAAAAACUGACAAUCAUUCUCUUUUCCACAUUGAUCAAAAAUAAAGAAGCUUUACAUAUUGUUUGACAGCAAUUUUCUCCUUAUACUGUACAAAACUGAGGUGAAAAGUAUUUGCUUUCAAAGGUGACGAACGCAGUAGGAGCCCUAACAAUGGUGUCUGCACGAUACACUGCAACUUUCUUCUGAGGCAGCAUGCAUGCUGGUUCAAAGUGUAGACUGUGGGCCUGAUCUGCCCAAUUCAAAUAUUACCUGGCUGGUUCCUGACCUUAGGACCUAAGCAUGUCACUUAACUGCUAUGAGAAGCAGCUUCCUUCUCUCUAAAACAGGGGUAAGAGUAACUAUUUCAUAGGGUUGUUAUGAUUUAAUAUUUUAAACUACUUAAAACAGUGCUAUGUAAUCAGUAAAUUCUGAUUUAGAAGUAUUCAUCUCUCUUCUGCAUUUAUAAGAUUUGAUUCCUGGCAGUUUCUACCCAAUCAUCGUGACAUCCAGCUGGAGCCAGAGUGCUUCUGAGACUAAAUAUCCAGGCAUUUAGGUUAGCAACAGAAAACAUGAUUGGUAUUUCCAUCCUGUUUUGACAAAGUUCCAUAUUUCUUUUAUGAUGCAAAAUGGAGAACCUCAUUAAGCAAUCAGAAAGAUUCUUGACUUUCACAGUAAUCCUUGUUGGCAUAACAUUUUUCAAGUUCCUCCCUCAGCCAAAGUGAAGCCUAAAUCAUAAACAUACCUGAAAUAUAAAAUCAAUAAUAUUAUUUCUGUAGUGCUGUAGCGUAAGACUUAAGAAUGUCUCAGCUACCAGAAAAAUGAUACUACUAGAAAAACACGCAUGGCUUCUUUUUAGUUGUUUUUUAAAACAUUAAAGGGAAAAAAAAUGAAGGAAAAGGAAAAUGUUUUCUUUGCCCCACAAAGGAGGAAAACCAGAUUCCAGUGUUCAGAAUCUCCCUUUGGAAGUAAGUGUUUCAUGGAGUUAAAAUGUUCCAGUGAUGUUGUUUUGAGAUCAUUUGGCUUGUUCCUCAUCCUAUGUCACACACAGAGAAUUCUCCCACAUAGGACGAGAAAUUAGCCAUCAGUUUUCCAAGCACUUGCUUUCAGACGUGGUUUAAGCACUUGUUUCUUAAUAGUUUAAAACUCCUCAAACAGAUUCCCAGACUGUGUGAAAAUAGGAUAAUUUUUAGAGGAUUAUGGAGGAGAAUCUGGUCUAUCUGGGUCUAGCAGCGUUUCAAUUGCCCUGAUGGCUAAGUAUAAAUUUGUUAGGAAAUUUGGAGGAAAAAAUACAUGCAAUCCUCAAGAAGUUUUCACUGUUUGGAAACUGUGUUAAUAGGUGGAAACCUAUAUGGAAAUUGUUGUAUAAUUUAAUAUGUGUAAAAACUCAGCAAAAUGUUUAAAUUAGGAAUCCUAAAUUAGGAUCCUGCACGAUUUGCUUAUUUUUUAGAUUUUAUAGUUUAGAAUUUUUUCUUUGCUAAUUAUAAUAAUUCUGUCAGAAAUACAUUUUUUUCCCAAAAGCAAAAUUAAUAUACAUUCAAUUAUGGGCACAUUAUUAAACUUUAAAUAAUUUAAGUUAUAUGAUACUGUCAGCAACAUUUAUUUUAGUUUCUAUAUGAUAAUGCAGGUUUGUCGAGAUUCCUGAAAUCUUAAUGUGGAAAUUGGUCUAUGUUUUGAUCCAAUAAAAAUAUUAUGA